rnacentral:snRNA from 1 species
GCACAUCUGUUAAAAGAUAAC